UACGAAGGGGCUAGCGUUGCUCGGAAUCACUGGGCGUAAAGGGUGCGUAGGCGGGUCUUUAAGUCAGGGGUGAAAUCCUGGAGCUCAACUCCAGAACUGCCUUUGAUACUGAAGAUCUUGAGUUCGGGAGAGGUGAGUGGAACUGCGAGUGUAGAGGUGAAAUUCGUAGAUAUUCGCAAGAACACCAGUGGCGAAGGCGGCUCACUGGCCCGAUACUGACGCUGAGGUGCGAAAGCGUGGGGAGCAACAGG
rnacentral:rRNA from 1 species